CGGACCAAGGAGUUUAGCGUGUGCGCAAGUCACUGGGUGGAAAACCUAAAGGCGAAAUGAAAGUGAAGGGGGCCUCUGGCCCCCGAGGGAAGAUGGGCGUCCGUCCUUCGCAGGCGGCGCCCCGCACUCCCGGGGCGUCUCUUUCUCGUUACGAGUGGAGGCGCACCUGUAGCGCACACGCUGAUACCCGAAAGAUGGUGAACUAUGCCUGGCCAGGACGAAGCCAGGGGAAACCCUGGUGGAGGUCCGCAGCGAUUCUGACGUGCAAAUCGAUCGUCGGAGCUGGGUAUAGGGGCGAAAGACCAAUCGAACCAUCUAGUAGCUGGUUCCUUCCGAA
rnacentral:rRNA from 1 species